rnacentral:rRNA from 1 species
UGCGCAGGCGGCCAAGUGUGUGAGGCGUGAAAGCCCGAUGCUCAACAUCGGAAUUGCACCUCAAACUACAUGGCUAGAGCAUUGGAGAGGGUAGCGGAAUUCACGGUGUAGCAGUGAAAUGCGUAGAUAUCGUGAGGAACACCAGAGGCGAAGGCGGCUACCUGGACAAUUGUGACGCUCAGCACGAAAGCGUGGGGAGCAAAG